rfam:Caenorhabditis japonica strain DF5081 Contig17948.2, whole genome shotgun sequence.
AGCCGAUUCUCGAUCUCUUUGGUUGUACAAAGUGGUAUGAGUACUAUAAGAGGCAAUGCAUACCGCUUUUCAACUGAAGGAAUCGAGUGUUUGGCGG